ACCACUAGGAGCGGUAAGAUGUUAUCUAGUCUAGGAUUGGGAACAUCCUCUCAUACUAAUGCGGUCGAAAUAGAUAGGGAGAUGGUUGAUGAAUAUUCAGUGGUGCCUAUGGAGUUGGGAGGUUUAAAAAAGAAGAGUGCAAAAGUGGAACAACCACCUAAGACAAAAUAUGUUAGUGAUAUGGAGCAAGGCAUAAGAAAUGAGGUAAAAGUUUCUCCAGUUAAAAUCCUA
rnacentral:lncRNA from 1 species